GGGUGGAGCAGUGGUAGCUCGUCGGGCUCAUAACCCGAAGGUCGGGGGUUCGAAUCCCUCCCCCG
rnacentral:tRNA from 1 species